CGGCGCGUGGGCCGGCGUCGCGGUCGCCGCGCUCGCGACGCGCGCGAUCGGGUCGAUCGACGCCGUGUUCGCGCUCUGGUUCGCCGGC
rnacentral:tRNA from 1 species